AGGUGGUUACAUUUUCAGGGUGGUGGAUAUAACUCAUCUAUGAACAGAGCCUCUAAAAGUUGGAAGGAAGAAGAUACCUGGAUGACAAUGGGUGGUAGACGCUGGGCUUAUUGAGACAAUGAAGACUGGGAUGGGAUUCUGUAGAGAACUCAUCCUAGGAUCUUUACAAGGAACUUGACAUUGAAUGCAACUGACAGGAU